UACGGAGGGCGCAAGCGUUAUCCGGAUUCACUGGGCUUAAAGGGCGCGUAGGUGGGCAGGCAAGUCAGUUGUGAAAUCUUUGGGCUUAACCCGAAAACUGCCAUUGAUACUAUUUGUCUUGAAUAUUGUGGAGGUCAGCGGAAUAUGUCAUGUAGCGGUGAAAUGCUUAGAGAUGACAUAGAACACCAAUUGCGAAGGCAGCUGGCUACACAUAUAUUGACACUGAUGCACGAAAGCGUGGGGAUCAAACAGG
rnacentral:rRNA from 1 species